CUGCCGGCGACCGGCGCACGGGUGAGUAACACGUAUGGAACCUGCCCGCAGCAGGGGGAUAAGCGGAAGAAAUUCCGUCUAAUACCGCGUAACAACGUUGGGAGGCAUCUCCCGAUGUUUAAAGAUUUAUCGGCUGCGGAUGGCCAUGCGGCGCAUUAGCUAGUCGGCGGGGUAACGGCCCACCGAGGCGACGAUGCGUAGGGGUUCUGAGAGGAAGGUCCCCCACAUUGGAACUGAGACACGGUCCAAACUCCUACGGAAGGCAGCAG
rnacentral:rRNA from 1 species